GAUGGGGCGCAGUGGGCAGCGAGGCGGUGUCUCGGCCAGAGGGGCUCACUCAGGCUGUGGAGCGCCCUGUGCCGCCUAAACAGAAACUCUGCCAGGCCAAGGAAACACAGCUACCAGCUGACUCACUCUCCCAGCAAGCAACACCGGCUCCUCCCCGAGCCAGGCCCUAGAAGAGAGACCGACCUCUCGCACUGCCAUCUGGGGGGUGGCACCAGGCUGUGAAGGAUCCACACACUGGCACAUGCAGGAAGAAACAGGGCGGGCGAGGGGCAAGGACCCCAACAAGCAGGAGCGGGUCAGAGCCCUCCCUGCACCCCACUGUGGCAGGGGCCCACCAAUGCCCCGUGCUCACCCACCAGAGCACUGCAGGUGAAAGGUGAGAAGAGGAACACAGAACAUUCUCCUGGACGCCACCCACAGGAAGCCACCCACAGGCUUGGCCCUCACCCUGGGGACAUUGGACACAUCUGGCUCUCAGGGCUGGGGGCAGCGUCCAGGACUCCUGAUGCAGAAGGCACACGGGCACCAGCGCCCCCCCUCAGCAAACUCCAUGUCUCAUGAAAUUAGGACAGGAUUUCUACUUUAUUUUGAAAAUAUGGCCAAGAUCCGUCCACGUGUGGCUGACUCAGAGCUGUGACUUUAGGGGAAAGGAAAGGAAGUGAUUGAGCUGCCUUUGCAGACAACAUUGGGAUUUUUGAAGAACUCGAGAAUCAGUCUAUGGAAAGGUUUGUGCCGUGGAGUCGCUGCUUGUGAAGGCUUGUGCGUCUGAAUUGCUGGCAAGGACAGUGGGAGAUACUUCAUUCAUUCAUAAAUGCCUUUAAAAUGUGGGAGAAGCACCUUGAAAAGGAUUGGUAGAAUUUACCAAAUUAAUACAAUUGGUAAAAUAAACCCAAACAUCUGGGGGGAAAAACGUAA